rnacentral:lncRNA from 9 species
AUGUUUCAAACACAUGAAGCCAAAGGAGCCAUGCUUUGUCUGAGCCAUUCCCCUGCCCUCCUGCCCCUACCAACAGCAGAAGUGCACAAGAUUUGCUUUGGGUUUGCAGGAUCCUGGCAAGUGAGGACCUUUAGCAUGACUUUGGCACCCAUUUCUAAAGAAUACACUCUACAAGUUAAAAGACUCCUUUGCUGUUUGUUUUUCCCAGAAUCCCCUUUUUUUUUUUUUUUUUUUUUUUUUGUCUUUUUACGGCAGCACCCAUGGCAUUUGGAGGUUCCCAGGCUAGGGGUCAAAUCAGAGCUGUAGCUGCCAGCCUACGCUAGAGCCACAGCCACAAGGGAUCCGAGCCGCGUCUGCGACCUACACCACAGCUCACGGCAACACCGGAUCCUUAGCCCACUGAGCGAGGGCAGGAAUCGAACCUGCAAACCUCAUGGUUCCUGGUCAGAUACAUUUCUGCUGUGCCACAACGGAAACUCCCUGGUUUCAUCUUUUUUUCAAUACUAACUAUGACACUUGGUUCCUAUUUUAUGCGAAUUUGUUUUCAAUGGCCUUUUUCAGAUAUAAAUUAGUCUUGGAUAACAAAGACUUCCAGUAUUGAUGAAACAAUAUGAAAAGCAUGUAUCAGAGAGAGAGAAGUUCAGGCAGAAAUGGGAAGAGAUGAAACUGAAGGAUACUAUUAUAUAUAUAUAUAUAUAUAUUUAGGGCCACACCUUUGAUAUGUGUAGGUUCCCAGGCUAGGGGUCCAGUUGGAGCUACAGCUGCCAGCCUAUGCCACAGCCAUAGCUACACAGGAUCAGAGCUGUGUCUGCAAACUACACCACAGCUCACAGCAAUGCCAGAUUCUUAAGCCACUGAGUGAGGUCAGGGAUCAAACCCACAUCUUCAUGGAUACUAGUUGGAUUCGUUUCCGCUGUGCCACAACAGGAACUCCUGAAGGAUACUACUUUUAAAAUACACCCUAUGCAUGCACAUUUCCUAUGGAUAUUUUCCUGCAAUACUCUUGAGUUAGAUGUUCCCAGGGUUCAGCCUGUAGCAAUGUGAUACUGAUGAUGAUGAAUAAAUGACAAUGAUGACAAUUGGUUUCUGAACUGGAGAUAAACGCCCAGCUCAUGUUGGGCUCCAAGAUGCUUGAAGCCCCAGAUUUGCUUCCUGUCUCUGACCUCAGACUUGAUCCUUUCUUCCAAGACUGACAGCCCCGUGAUUCACAUUCUCCUAGGUCACCUCCACGUUUGCCAGAUCAUUCAGGGUCUUAAGGAAUACAGGUUCUUCAGCCACUCCUCUCUUGGUGGCAGAACUGGAAAACCAGACAAAGAGUGGAAUGUUUGCUGAUAAUUCUAGAAAGCCUUCUGCAGGGGUAGGCAUUUGUAUUCAUGCCAAUUCCUUUCCUCCACCUCUUAAAAGCCUUGAUUCUGAGUGAUGGGAAGCUAAGACCUUAAAGAGGAUGAUUCGAGGCUGUUCCUUGGGCAAUAAUGUUGGCUUGGACAAUCAUUUCAAGUGCUGGUGUUCCAUUCCUCAUAGUGAAGCAGGGAUGGAUGACCACGGUGGUCUUGGACUGCAGUGGCCAGGAGCACAUGCUCGUUUACAGGUGUCCUGUCAGAGUUACUUAGAACUCAGAGUUGGGAAAAUUGACCCAGCAAUGUUACACUGCUCUUCUGCAAGCUUUUAG